GGGGUCAUCAGUAAGGCACUCAAUCACCUUAAUAUCCUGUGACACCCCUUAUAAGGCUGCUGUUAUGUUCUGGUGGUUGUCAGGAAUAAAUGUACAACAUUGCGUCUCUACAAGGGCACAGCUGCCACAUUGGGCAGCUCUGACCAUGUCUAAGGCCAUCCGGUUUUGCAGAACCAACUUCCUGAUCUGAUUGACUUCAUCAGUUAACAAAAAGGAGAGCAACUCGGGUGUAAUUCAGGGCCCAAACUGUGUGCUCUGCAAGGGCUGUAACUUGCAUUUCUACAGUAGCGACACCUGCUCUAGGGAUAGUUAUCGCUUAGGGGUAGAGUCACUAGGGGGCUUGCUGAACUCGUAAAAACCAGGAACAUAGCACCUUCCAGUUAGGUGGAUGACUAGGCAAUGUGGGAAACACAGUGGCAGGCACAGAAAGCCACCCCCAGGUACAACGUCCAGUCCAAUUGGCUGGUAGAUAUGGCCAUCCUGUGUCCCCACAGACCCAUAAACUCCCUGGGGGCAUAAAGUCCAUGAAGGUCCAGCCUUGGUAAGGCAACUUAUUCCACCACACCCUUGGUUUCGCGGCAUGUGUUAUGUUUGCACAAACCUCAGCAAUAAUCCCUCAGUGACUUUACCCCAGUGCUCCCCUAUACAUCAUGGUACCUGCAAUGGGGGCACCACAUGUUUUCCCGUUAGCCAGCCCCAUCCAUCAUGGACACUAUAAGUCAGCCAGUGGCAGGCUUGCCAUGGGUUUUGGGACGUCCCCCUAUCCAAAGCCCACCAUUGCAUUGUCUAUUGAACACCAAGUCUCUAGCCAUGUCCAGUUCUGCACAGAAGCUGGAUGCACGUUCCAGGGCAAGCUGCCUGCAGCUGCUGCUGAAAGGGUGGUGCAGAUACAACAGUUGAAGACAUUGGUCACCUCAGUGUAGGUGUGGGCCCAGAACAUGAUGCUGUUGGAGCAUGCCACCUAUGGCUGGAAUGACAAAGCAAGCACAGGUACUAACAGGGGUAAAUCAUGUCCCUCAGGCAAAAUACAGGCCAACUUUUCACCUCUCGAUAACAGUGCAGCCACCAAGGGCAUUUGCCCUGGGUGAUGAUACCACACCUUAUCAGCUCCCUGUGGUCCUUUUGGGUGCUGUACCCAUGCCAAACACACAGGGGAGCUUAUGCUAAGCCACACAGACAGUACACAUGCCCUCUGGAGGAGAGUCUCUUCCCUGGCCGUUCCCCUAUGCAUGGUUAAUUGUGGAGGCCACACAUUAAAUACCCAAGGAGUAACAUGUAAGUUAUACUGCAGCCCCUCCCCCCAGGGGGCUAUGAUAGCCAACCAUCUGCAAUGAGGUGCUUGGAGGGUCCAUGGCUAACACCAGGUUUUUCUGUUCCCCUGCCUUUAGGGGUACUGGGGCAGGCAAUAACAGAUUACUGUUCAACCCUGUACCUGGUUGGAGAAGGUUGUUCUUCCUCUCAUAGAUCUGGCCACAUGGCCUGGCCCUACAUGGGUCGAUGACUAACUAGCUAAUUCUGUAACUUCUAGGUAAUUAACCACAAAGUUAAGCCUUGAUAAAUUGCCUAGCUACUAGUACAGAUUACCACAGGUGUCAUCUCCUUGGUGAUCACAGUCCAUAUUGCCUUGAGUUCAACUUAUUAGCUACUUUAUUUACACCUGGUUUUAAACCAUAUUGUGUCAGUACUAGGCUGGACUGUAGCAGCAAUCCAGGCAGCAGCAGUACUCUGGCUAUACCUACCUGUAUACUAUGCCUCAUUAGGAAUGGGAGGAUGCCCUUCCUUAUGGUAAAGGCUCAGGGUCUAGAGGUGCCUCAGACCCCAUGACUUUAUCUUGCAUUAGGACUAUAGGCUUCAAGACCUAUUGUAAUUUUACUCCUAAGAGACCAGUACUCAGUGUACUCUGCUGCUCUAAGUAGGUGCCCCACUUCGCUAAAGUGGAUGUCUGUGCCUUCCCUAUCCAGGGGGUUGUUUCCCAUGAAUGCCCAAUCUCACAAUUACUAACUGCUUCUCUAUCAAGGAAUACUGGGGCUCAGCUCCCUUCCACAGCUGGGAACAAAAGCCUAUUGGCAUACUCAGGUGCUCUAUGCACUGCUAUAGGCCCUAACUGAAACUCUGUUGUCACAGGCACAUCUAGUUUAAAUGGGCACCUCUGGUCCACUACCCGUAUGGCUUGUGCCUGCUAAAUAGCCCGCUAGGCUACCAGAAAGACUGUCUCAGGAGCAUCAUCCCAAUCCCAGGCAAGAAGAACAUUGCCACUUCUAAAUCUGCAGGAGAAUCAGAGGUUAACAUGACAUCAUUAAUAAAAUAAUGACACGUGGUGGGGCUAUGAAUAUAGCCCUGCAGCAACACUGUGAAAGUCCAUUGUCACCCUCCCAUGAAAGCAAACUGUUCCUGCCUCUCUGGAACAAUGUCGACUGAGAGGAAUGCAUUGGUCAAUUCCACCACAUAGUGGCAUUGUCUCAGUUCUGUUGUCAAGAAGUUCAUCAAAUCCAUGAUAGAAGGUACAGAUACAUGCAGAAGGAGUAUUACUUUAUUCAGUUUCCGAUAAUCCACUGUUAUCUGCCAAAUCCCAUCAGGCUUUCUGACUGGCCAUAAUGGAAAAUGGUAGGGGCUAUGGAUGCCACACACUAUUUGCACCUCCUCUAACUUCUUAAUAGUCUCAGUUACCUCUGUAUUCCCCCCUGGCAAACGGUACUGAUGAGUGGAAGUAACCUGUCAGGGUUGUGGCAGAACUUGGGGCUGGUGAUGUGUAUGUUCACCCAGUACUGGCUUUACUGCAUGGACUCAGAAUCUGGAUUCUCUGGCCGUGGUGUGCAAGCCCAGACCAUGCAAAAUGUCCACCCCCAGAAUAUAUUCAGGUAUAGGAGAAACAUACACAGUGUACAGGUGGGGAGCCAAGCGGCCAAUGCCAAGAUGCAGAGACACAGGCUUCACCUUCACCGACUGGCUCCCAUAACCGUCCAUAAAUGCAGCUUUGCCUAGAAAUUUAUCUGGGUUCCCAUAAACUAGACUGCAGUCUGCACCAGUAUCUAUCAGUGCUAGGACCCGCGGUACAUUAGUGGGGGACCAGUGGAUUGCCAGCUCCACAUAUAGCCUCUGGUUGUCUAGUUCCCCCUGCCAAGCUGGCGACCUCGGCCAGUUCCCUAAUCAAACAAGAAAGGCUCUGUAUCUCUGCCUGUCUGCAAAUAGUCCUUGAGUUGCAGCGUCUGGGAGGGAUUAGGUUGAACAACAUUGUUUUGCCCCCCACACCUUAGGCAUUUUCUGGAAUUGCUGCUCCCGGGACAAUUGCCUUCACAGAGUCAACAACAUUCCAUUGGGUUGCCCGUCAAUUUUCUCCCGAGCAACCCCAGCUGCAAGUAAAUCAAUCCACAUCUGCAUGCAGGUCACCUCCUGGAGCCCCUUUUUAUCUGGUGGGGUGGUUAACUGCGGAUGAGGCAUUUUCUCCCUCCUUACGGUGCGGAUUCUCCGGUCCUGCGAAUGGCCUUCUGCCUCCCUGAGGGCUGCCAGAGCAGUAGUCACUUCAUGUAUGCGGCACCCCACAUACUGGGUGAGAACAGCGGCUAGAAAGCCAUAAGGGUUCGGGGUGCUGAACUCAGCACAAGAUCCCUCAUGUGGGAGGUAAAGCGUUCAUCAUCUGGCCCCAUGGUAAUCAGACCAAACAUAGCCUGCCGCAUACCUAUCUCCAAGAGUAUCUGCACCAAAUUAGUAUGUGAUUGCCAUUUACUCACAGUUUGUAGUAUCUCUCUGGCAUCAUUGAAAACAGUCCAUAUGACUGUCAUUAGCCACUUGAUUAAUGUGUGGCCACCUUGCUCUUGUGCCAACCGUUGGCACAGCUGCAGCUGCUGACGAAGGGAGGGGUGAGUUGUGAUAGAAGUCAGCUUCUCCAUCUCAGAGGCGGAACAAAAAAUGCUAUCAGCUCCCUCAGACGCUGCCGGCACUAUUUACCUAAUUCCCACAACUCACUGGGGUUAUAAGCAUAAUAAGAGGCGUGUUCCACCACUGUGGACGGGGUCCCUGGGCUUUCCCCUAGGGUCCCAUCAGCUGCUUAUGUUCUACCUUCUGACGGAUCACAGGAGGAGCCUGCAGCGGAGGAGCCUCCUCCUCCUCAGCAUCAGACCUAAAGGGAGUGUCCUGCCUGAAGGACCGGCUCAAGGUCGCACUAACAGCUCUUGCUAACUCCUGUUCCAGGCUGUUUAUCUGGGCCUCCAAGUACCCUGCUUGCGCCUGGAGGUCUCUCACCCCCAGGUCCUGCUCAAAGCUGUGCACUUGGGCCCCCAGGCAUGCGGCUUGCUCCGGAAGGUCCCUUACCUGUGGCACUGAGCAUGUACUUCCUGCAGUGCAGUUAGAAAUGCCCAUCCGACUCUGCUUGCAAAGGCACAGCUGCUUAAAGACUGUUACCGGAAAGGAAUCCUGAUCCAGACGCCAAGAGAGGGUUCUUGGACUCAUGCAAGAAAGACUUCAGAAUACGAGUUUUGAAUUUUUGAAUUGCUGUUAAAACUUUCAUCAUGAACACUGAAGUGAGUGAAAAGAGACUUUUGCAGUCAUUUUUUUGCUGGCUGCAGAUGACAGUGACACCCUGGGAGUUGAGAAAUGCUUGUAAGAUGGAAGGAGGCUGUGUCCCUGAAUGAUCACCUGGAAGAGAGCCACCUUAGCCAAUGAAACUCCUGCUAUGAAUGUUUGCUGAGCAAGAAAUAUACUUACUGCUUUAUAUGCCUUUGAAGCUAUAGGUUCAUAUUGUUACCACAAUUUAAAGUGCUAUAAUAAAAAGAGUUCAGGAAGCAGGCACAUGGAAGCAAUAAGAGCAACAAACAUUUACACAGUUCUCAGGUCCCUGGACCAUGAAGGGCCACAUCCAAGGAGCUACCCCAGGAGGCCUCUCAUUUGCAUUUGUCCCCGCUAAUGCAGGACAGAGAUCAUGGAAGUUGGGCCCGACUGGAUGAGAUUUGGGGGUCUUUGGAAGUGGAGAAUGUGUUUGCCCUGGGGAAGAGAGGUGAUGUCUAGGAGACCUCUUCACUCAGGGCAAGCUCUAUGACCUGCUUUGACUCCAGAAUGUGGUAGAAGUGGCAUCACAUAAAUUGCAGAGCCUAGGCUUCAAGAGACCUUGCAACUUGCCUCUCACUGACUUGAAGUGCUCCCAUCAGAGCAUCUUGUAAGGAGCAGGUGGAGCAUGUGGACAAGCCAUCCCCACCAGCCCCUGAGACAUGUGAGAGAGGCCAGAACAGGCCAUCCGGACCCCACUGUGCUGGUGGAUGAGACAGCAGAAGGAAUAUCAACCUACCAACAGAAUCCUGAGAAAUGCUCACUCUUACUUCAAGCUGCUGCAUUUUGAUGUUAUGAAACCAUAAAUAACUUAUGAAGUCAUCUUUGCUGACUUAAAGUUUUCCAUAACUUUAUUAUAACAUAUCAAAAUUAUGAAAAAUGUGAAAAGUAGAAAACUGAUGAAUUUUGCUUCUUCAUAUGGUCUUUAAGAAUCUCAAAGGCACUGAAGUUUUUUAUCUUUUCUGUCUUAGAAUAAAAAACCUUGAAUGAAAAUCUGCUUCUUGGAAAAGCAGCAAGGUUUAUGCAGAGGCAAUCUGGUAUUUGUGUGCACUGGCAGCUGAUCAUACCCAGCAUGCACGCACUCUCAGGGCAGAGUCUGAUGCCCCACAUAAUGGGGCAUGGUAAGGACUCCCAUGUCCUUGAGAUAAAAUGAUAAGGAAAAUACACACUGCUAUUAGAAUAACAGGCCCAGCUUCUGCACAUUUUAAUUCCCAAAGUUUUCAUGAAAGACAAUGAUUUUUUGGUACCAUGUUUAACUCUACAAGAAUCAGUAGUGAAAACUAAAAAUGAUACUUUGUGAAAGUUCAUUAAUUUUGUUUUCAGCCAGUGGUGGCCUUGGUCAGAUAGAAUCAAAUCUAUGAUACUUUUUAUCAGAAAUGCUUAUACUGUGUACAAACCCAAAGUGAUGGCUUUCAAAGAUUGAAUUUGAUUAUUUUCUGUAUGGUGCAGAUGAAAAAUUACUACACAGGAGAAGGUGGGUUGGAGGUGCUCACGAGUAACCAGGAAACAGUCUGAAGUUUUUCUGAUACUUCUCCUUGGUCCAACCAAAUGUGAGAUAUAAACACAAACUUGGGAUUCCGUUCUUAUGUUUUGGUUGUUUCAGUCUUUACAGAUGUAUCGAAAGGCUGUCCAAAAAUGUCUGACUUCUGUAGUGUGCCUUCGUAGCACUAGAGGGUUCUGCAGCUGUGAAACUGAAGGCAUUGGCAAGAAGCCCUCCAUCUUCAAACCACUUUCUGCUAAGGUGUGGCUCUAUAAAACCACUAUGAGCUGGGCUUCACUGAGACUGAGUUGUUUCAGUAGGAUCUUCCGGAAAAACAUGUUCCCUCCUUUACCUGGGUUGUCAUUCUGAGAACAAUCACACCUCCAAUUUUGGCUUACUAAGCAAUAGCGUUUUAAUGAUUUUAAGCCAGGAUUUGCUCCUCCUUUCCUCAGUAUGAGAGCUUAACCACUGGAGGAACCAAGAAUUCAUGCUGGUUGGGUUCUGAUUCCACUUUAACUUACUGUAUAGCCUCAUCCCUUGUUUUUCUGGAGAUUCUCUUUUUCUGCUUCACUGAUUUAUAUUUACAUUAAAAUCAAAUGAGGCCAUGUUUCUGAAAUCACAUUGUCCCUACAUGGUCAUUACAAUGAGUCUGUAAUGUGACUGAAAGACAGCCAUGGAUACAGGUAGAGGAUAUCAGGCAAUUGAAUGCUCAUCAAGCAUUCAAUUCAGGGCAAAUGGCAUAAGGUAUGCAGUUGGCCUCUUCUGAUAUCUGUGUCUUAAUCCUUUCUUUAGCCUCUGUUUUCUGGACCAAGGCUAAGAUAUUUUCUGGGCACAGUGGCUCAUGCCUAUAAUCCCAGCACUCUGGGAGGCCAAGGUGGGAGGAUUUCUUCAGCCC
rnacentral:lncRNA from 1 species